rnacentral:rRNA from 1 species
UCGAUACAAUUAUAAUUAAUACCGCAUAUUGUCUAAGGAUGAAAGAGGGGGAUCGUAAGACCUCUCGCUGCAAGAUGAGCCUGUGCAAGAUUAGCUAGUUGGUGAGGUAAAGGCUCACCAAGGCAACGAUCUUUAGCUGGUUUGAGAGAACGAUCAGCCACAUUGGGACUGAGACACGGCCCAGACUCCUACGGGAGGCAGCAGUAAGGAAUAAUGCGCAAUGGGGGAAACCCUGACGCUGCCAUGCCGCGUGUAUGAAGAAGAUUUUAGGAUUGUAAAGUACUUUUAGCGAUGAGGAAAAGCUUUUGGCUAAUACCUUAAAGCCUUGACAUUAGUCGCAGAAAAAGCACCGGCUAACUUCAUGCCAGCAGCCGCGGUAAUACGAGGGGUGCAAGCGUUAAUCGGAUUUACUGGGCGUAAAGCGCAUGUAGGCGGCAUUGCAAGUUGUAUGUGAAAGCCCCGAGCUCAACUUGGGAACUGCAUACAAAACUGCAUUACUGGAGUGUAGUAGAGGAU